rnacentral:tRNA from 4 species
UAGGGGAUUGGUCAAGUGGUAUGAUAGGGGUCUCCAAAACCUUUGGCGGGAGUUCGAUUCUCUCAUCCCCUGU